CUCCAGCAGGACGUGCAGACACACCACUUCUCUGUCUUGCUGAAUAUGAAGCUCUUCUGGAUUUUCUGUGUGAUAUGUGAGGGCUUUUGGCGCUGAGGGCAACUUCUAUUUGGUGAGCAAAGCACCUGAGCAGGUGUUUUCCUGUGCUACAAUGAGGCCUGGUGGUGUCACUGAAACGGUGGGAAAAACAAAAACUCUCCAACAACACUUUUAGUGACACUGCUUGUGAAGGCUUGGAUGCAGCCUGGAAUUCUGAGUCAGUUUGGGAUUUGGAAAGCUACAUGGGGCCAUGUCAGGAUUUGUGCUCACACUCUCUAUCUUCCAAGGGCCUGCUGUGUCUAAUUCCCAGUCAGGUGGAGCUCUCCUUUUCCAGCAUUCCAGACGUUGUUUUGGAAGAAGGCUUCCACCACCUACUUAUCUACAGAGAAUGAUCUGCCCACCUGGCAUCAGCAGCAGCUCCUUGGGAGAUCCCUGUCUUUGCAGGAAGGGUAAAUAGUGGGAUCAGCUUAACCAUGACAAGUAAAGGCAGCAUUAUCCGUGCUUUUCCUGAUUAUGCUCUGCAGCCUUUGUUGCAUGAAGUCUGGGGACUUAUGGCUGAAUGGAGGAUAAUGCAAUCAGGACUGGAAUGAGUUCUCUUCAAUCCUCUGUCCCACUGUAACAAAACCAGACUGGAUGUGCACACAGCUUCCUGAAAUCUGCAAAGUUUGGAAGAGAGCCCUGUGAUUUUGGUCAAUAUACUCAGAAAAUAUCAUGGCUUCAUGGUUGUUGCUUAUAUGAAGACAAAUUAUUUUUACUUUUUUUUAGGUUCAGAGAACAUGAGGAUAUUUUCUUGCGUAAGAACAGUGUGCACUUUCCCCCAACAGAGAGUCUGUCUCCUCUAUUUACUGAAAAAUCCAGGAGGAAAAGUCCUGUAACACUGAGGCUGUGAUGGUUUCUAUGACUUAAUGUUAAAUUUGGUGAGAUCUGCUUUAAAAACCACUGUUUGCAGGUUCUGUAGCAUUAUUUGUGUUUCUGUUGAGUGGAGUGCCUACACAAUCCUCAGUUGAUGUUCAAAGUUGGUAAACAUUUUCCACAGCUAUAUUUCCUCAGCAAUUCCCUUACUUUUAAUUGCAGUAUUUCUUUUUAUUGCUCUGAUAUUUUCCAUUAGUUUCUAAAUGGAGCAGAUGUUUUUCCAUCAGUUUGGGAUUUUUCCUACCAAAAUAUUAACUUCUCUUUUCGAUUUUGUAUCUCAUGCUUAGGGCUGGGAAACCUUUAUAAAGUAGCUGUUCCUUCCUCAUGGCACCAAUGUUCUUCCAGCCCAAUGUUGUGUUUCGUUCCCAGAAAAAUCUGUCACUGUGGAAUUGCAAAGGGAUUUGAUAAUUAAAGUAUAAACUGUUUUUCUUUACAAAAAUGUAUGAUUUCUGUGGUUUAGGCCUUAAGAAUAAAUCAACAUAACUGAUUUCAAGAGAGAGAUGUUAACACUUACUAAGGCUUUACCUUUUUCAGUUUCUUUUUUUAAUGCCUUUUUUGUAAGCAGCAGGAAAUGAAUAUUCAUUAUACUGAUAUUUAAAUUGGUUAUGAGAAUCUUAUAUAAAGCUUUUUCAUGGGCAAAUAUGAGAGAUUUAUCCCAACAAUAUUUCUUUCUACUCCUCUGAAAUCCAAUCCAAGCCCAAACCUCAGAUUUGGUUUUUUGUCACUGUUUUCCAUUGUGCCAUACCAACCCUUCCAUCAGCUAUUGACAGAAAAAAGAAAUAAAAUCCUGAUAAAUUACUCCAUAAUGACUUAUUCUUUUGCUUGAGCCAGACAGAGUUAAGCCUUAAAUUUGCUAUAGAAAAGGAGAAACUGCAGUGUACUCAAGACACUCAGACUUAUUUAAAACUGAGCGUGUGUUCCCUUUUUAAAAGAUUUCUCUCAAAAGGUUCUUUCUGAACCUACUACCAGUUCUGAGGGCUUAUUUAUCCUUUGCAGUUGACAAGCAAUUUUAAAAUAAAAUAUCACAACCACACAAUUAAAAAAAUAUAUAUCUGCACAGGAAAAGAAAGACAGAGCAAGACUACAUCCAAAUGAAACUAUCAGUGUUCUCAGUGAAAGACAAUGAGGAGAUGAUUUUGUAAGUGUUCUCAGCAUUCCCACAAAUCACUGUGCUAUUGAUGGCUUAUAUUUGGGGUGAAGACACUUAAAACUUCAGAGGCUUGAAGUAUUUUCUUUUCUUUUCUGAGUCUUUGCCAUUUCCAUUACCUGUCUCCCUGUUACGUUAUACACAACUGCUUUUGUGCAUUGUAAUUUUCAAUUACGCUUCAAUUUUCUAAUUGAAUAAAUUGUUCUGCUCGAAUGUAAGGCUCCAAAGGUGUGCGAAAACACUGGAUCAGAAAACCCCAUCAUAAUGAAUUGUUUUAUAAAAUACUCCUGUUUCAUUAGAGAUUUUAUGUGUCUGAAUGCUUGAGGUGAACAGGAGGUCAGGCCACGAAAAACUGCUGAAAGCAGCCUUUUUAAAAGUCAGAGCAUUCUAAUAAGUGGUGAUGAGAACAUGAGAGAGUUCCAAGCUGCUCCUCACAGUUGUUAAACCCGGGAGAUAAAAUCCCUGCGUUUUAUCUUGUGUUGCCAAUGAUUCAUUAUCCACAGGAAAAAAAAAAUCAAAUACAAGACAGGGAUGGGAAGAGGAACAAAGUUUACUUUAGAUUUUUAUUGUUCAUAAGAUGUUAUCUACAUGGAAAAAGAUGAACAUUUUCCUACAAACAUGAACUUAAUUUCUUCCAAAUACAUAAAGUCUUCUGCAGUGAAUAUUUGGUGGCCUGCUUUUCCUGUAGUCUCAUGUUAUUGACUGUAUACCUGGGUUUCUUUAAAUUUUAUGUGCUAAACUUAUACCUCUGACAAGUCUUCAGAGUUCACUAUUUUAUACAUGCAGAGAAAAGUUAAUGAGAGUUUAAUUUUAAAUAUUUGUCUUCAAUAAACACAUACAGACAUAUGGUGGUUUUUAGUGAAAGGCUCAUGGAAAGGUUCU